GACGAACGCUGGCGGCGUGCUUAACACAUGCAAGUCGAACGGGGCCCGCAAGGGUUCAGUGGCGGACGGGUGCGUAACACGUGAGGAACAUGCCCAUCGGCGGGGGAUAGCCGGCCCAACGGCCGGGUAAUACCGCGUACGACCACUGGGUGGCAUCACCUGGUGGUGAAAGCAGCAAUGCACCGAUGGAGUGCCUCGCGGCCUAUCAGCUAGUUGGUGAGGUAAUGGCUCACCAAGGCGACGACGGGUAGCUGGUCUGAGAGGAUGAUCAGCCACAUUGGGACUGAGACACGGCCCAGACUCCUACGGGAGGCAGCAGUGGGGAAUAUUGCGCAAUGGACGAAAGUCUGACGCAGCGACGCCGCGUGUGGGAUGACGGCCUUCGGGUUGUAAACCACUGUCGGGAGGGACGAAGCUCUGACGGUACCUCCAAAGGAAGCACCGGCUAACUCUGUGCCAGCAGCCGCGGUAAUACAGAGGGUGCGAGCGUUGUCCGGAAUCACUGGGCGUAAAGGGCGCGUAGGUGGCCUGGUAAGUAGGGGGUGAAAUCCUGUGG
rnacentral:rRNA from 1 species